rnacentral:lncRNA from 1 species
GACAGUGGAUCGGCCACGGUCCACUCACCGCCUGGGACACCACCUGGCAGUUACAGUGAAUGAACCUGACCAUGUGCCAACGCUGCUCCCAGAUGUGAACAGACUGCAGAAGGCGGGUGCAACAGGAGAGCGCUGGUGUACCCCUGAAACACCAGGGCAUGCCCGUUUUGCUCUUGGGUGUGCACGCAGAAAGGGGUAAAAAGAUGAGCUAGAAGACACAUGUCAACUUCAUGACUGCAGUGGCCUGGGGGAGGGCGCUGUGGCCGAGAGGAAUGGGACUCAGAGGCCAGUCCUUUCCUCUUCUCUCGUGGGUCCCUGGACCAGGAAGGCCUGCAGUGUCCAUGCUCUCUGACAGGAGUGAGUCAGGCUUCCAUGGGAAUGAGAGGGAGGCACAGCCUGGCUGGGCAGCAGGAGCAGCCAUGCAGAGCCUGUGCGCAGCAGAGGGGACAGUACAUGACAGACCACAGUUCCUUGUCCCCAUCCCCCAAGUUUGACCCACUCUCUGGGGGAAGGGCCCUAGGAGGCCUGCUGUCUCAGGAGGGUUCCCCAGAAGCCAACCAAGGUAAGGGCCAGGAGCUGGGCUCUCUCAAUCAUGCCAAGGGCAGCCCUGGGGGCGGGGGCAACUCUGGAAUUUUUGUUUGUUCAGGUGCUGGGGUUG